UACAGAGGGUGCAAGCGUUAAUCGGAAUUACUGGGCGUAAAGCGUGCGCAGACGGUCUCGUAAGUCGGGUGUGAAAUCCCCGGGCUCAACCUGGGAAUUGCAUUCGAAACUGCGAGGCUAGGGUUCGGAAGAGGGAAGCGGAAUUUCUGGUGUAGCGGUGAAAUGCGCAGAUAUCAGGAAGAACACCCGUGGCGAAGGCGGUUCUCUGGGACGGUACUGACGCUGAGACGCGAAAGCGUGGGGAGCGAACAGG
rnacentral:rRNA from 1 species